rnacentral:lncRNA from 1 species
UAAAUACGAACCCUAAACCCUGAAACAUCAACUCUAAACCCUAAACCCCGAAACAUAAACUCUAAACCCUAAACCUUCAACUCAAAACCCUAAAACAUCAACUCUAAACCCUAAACCCUAAACUUCAACUCUAAACCCUAAACCCUAAACUUCAACUCUAAACCCUAAAUCAUCAACACUAAACCAUAAACUAUCAACACUAAACCCUAAACCCUAAAAAGUAAACUCUAAACCCUAAACCCUAAAACAUCAACUCUAAACCCUAAACCCUAAACCUUCAACUCUAAACUC